rnacentral:tRNA from 1 species
GGGAAGGUGGCUCAGUGGUAGAGCACUUGCUUUGCAUGCAUGAAGCCCUGGGUUUGAUUCCUCUGUACCA